rnacentral:rRNA from 1 species
AUUGAACGCUGGCGGCAUGAUUUACACAUGCAAGUCGAACGGUAACAGGCCGCAAGGUGCUGACGAGUGGCGAACGGGUGAGUAAUGCAUCGGAACGUGCCCAGUCGUGGGGGAUAACUACUCGAAAGAGUAGCUAAUACCGCAUACGAUCUAUGGAUGAAAGCGGGGGACCGUAAGGCCUCGCGCGAUUGGAGCGGCCGAUGUCAGAUUAGGUAGUUGGUGGGGUAAAGGCUCACCAAGCCAACGAUCUGUAGCUGGUCUGAGAGGACGACCAGCCACACUGGGACUGAGACACGGCCCAGACUCCUACGGGAGGCAGCAGUGGGGAAUUUUGGACAAUGGGCGAAAGCCUGAUCCAGCAAUGCCGCGUGCAGGAAGAAGGCCUUCGGGUUGUAAAAUGCUUUUGUACGGAACGAAACGGCUCUGGUUAAUACCCGGGGCUAAUGACGGUACCGUAAGAAUAAGCACCGGCUAACUACGUG